AGUGGAAACAGGAAGAGCUGGAGAGGGGAAGAAAGGAGACAGAGGAGAGGAUCGGGUGAGACAAGGUGGCGAGGAGUGAAAGGGAGGAAAAGGGGAGCAGAGGGGCGUGUGGACCAAAGAGGACCAACACAAAAAAGAGAUUGCUUUUUGCUCUCAGGUGUGAAGUGGAGGGCCUCCCAAACACAGAUCAAGAGUGGCUGCAUGUAUCACCCAGCAGAGCUCUAUUCUGGCCGCAACACAUGGGACUCCUAUCCAGCUGGAGGACCUAACCGAGGAC
rnacentral:lncRNA from 1 species